rnacentral:rRNA from 1 species
CUGAAACCGUGCGCUUACAAGCGGUCGGAGCCCUUUAGUGGGGUGACGGCGUGCCUUUUGCAUAAUGAGCCUACGAGUUACUCUUCACUAGCGAGGUUAAGCUAUUAAGUGGCGUAGCCGGAGCGAAAGCGAGUCUGAAUAGGGCGUAUAGUUAGUGGAGGUAGACGCGAAACCCGGUGAUCUACCCAUGACCAGGUUGAAGUUGCAGUAACAUGCAAUGGAGGACCGAACCAGUUGACGUUGAAAAGUCUUUGGAUGAGUUGUGGGUAGGGGUGAAAGGCCAAUCAAACUGAGAAAUAGCUCGUACUCUCCGAAAUGUUUUUAGGAACAGCCUCGGAGGAUGUCUGCUAGAGGUAGAGCUACCAAUAGGACUAGGGGGAGUCAAAUCCUACCAAAUCCAGACGAACUCCGAAUGCUGAUAAAUAUAUUCCGCAGUGAGGGCUUGGGUGCUAAGGUCCAUGUCCGAGAGGGAAAGAACCCAGACCUACAGCUAAGGUCCCAAAAUC